CAGCAGCAGGCUCUGUAGGAAAUGAUGCACUGUGUGCCCCUAUACCCAUAUCCUCAUGCCAGCCCAUCUCUGCACUGAGUCAGAGACUCAUUCACUCUCAGCUGCCCUACAGUGGAUUAUAUUGGAGUGUGAGGAAUGGGGCCAAAAGGGAGUCUGGUGGGAGAAAGAUGAGGAGGAUGUGAGAGAGCAGGUUGAGAACCAUGAGAGCUAGGUACGGAAGAGGAAAGAGGGAGCCAACUAAAGAAGAAAAGAGAGAAAGAAUGAGCAGAAAAGUAAUCAUGUAAUGGGGUAUACUGGCCCUUUAACACUAGAGGGGGCCAGAGACUCCCUUGCAGGAACGUUGGAAUAAAUAGAGGCCCUGGAAAUGGCCUGGUAGCAGGAAGAGAAGAAGUGGUCUUGGGGGAUUAGUAGUUGGAUGGGGAAAACCAAGACACUGUCCCUUUAAGGGCCUUGGACCAGGAGCCCUGUUGGUUAGGGCAGGGCUCCCCUCUCUCCCAACUAAUGGGGGGAAGCUCUGACGGAGGGCAGUACAGUAUAUAUGUUGUCUUCUCCCUCAGAACAGGGACCGCACUGACAGGGAGAAUGCAGCCAGUGCCCCAGCUAGGAACAACAGGACUGGCAGCUCCACGAAGAUCCGUCUGAGGCAGAAUAAGAGCUCCGUGUGCAGCAGAAGAGCCAGAGAUGACUGAAAUCGCACAUGUUAAAUGCGCCUAAGAUGCGACAGACCUCUAGAAUAUUAGAAAGCCUGGAAGGACGAGGCUAAAGGCAGGAAAUAAGCCAGAGCUUAGACAAGAAGGAUAUUCCAAAAACCCUGAGCCAGCAGAUGCAAGUAGGAAAUACAGCAAAGGGAACACAGCAUGGUUCAGCACGUGAGCAGUGUGGUUUUUUGGUAAGGAUACCAACAAGGAAUCCAACAGCUGCUGAAAUUCCACAGGGAAGAGGUUGAGUGGCUGCUCCAGAAGGAUGGUGCCAUUACAAAUGCUUGAUAGUCCCCCCCCCGUUUGCUGAGCAGUGUGACUGGAGUGGCUGUACAAUCUAGUUGAGGCACAUGGGCAGCUGCUACCACCACGCUUUUGCCCUUGAGGAAAAAAACAGACGCAUGCAGGGAGAUCUCACACCCUGUUGACUUUCAAACAUUCGAGCAAGAAAUACCGGGACUGUAAAAACCAAAUUCUGCUUGCAGCUGUAUUGCACCAACCCACUGAAGUCAAAGCGGUUGCACCCCUGUAACUGAGAGCAGGAUUUGGCCCAGUGUUUUCUAACCCAUACCCUUGUUUUUCCUGAUUCAUGGAGUCAGAAGCAGAACCACAAAGCAGCUGCUGAGAGUUGGUUGCUUUAUUUUAUGGUAAAUAUUGUUCUGUCACUGCCCUGUAACUCUCCCCACAGACUGUCUGCUCCAGCCUAUCCUGAGCUGGGCACUGCCCCAGGCAUGAAGAUGAUCAAGAGAGAGCAACACCGAGUACUGAAGUGCCGAUUGCCAAAAACCCUGAUGAUAGCAUCGAACUCAUAGGUCCCCACUUAGAGCAUAGCCUCCUGUGGUACCCCUUAGCACUUUAGCCCAGCUGGGUGGGUGUUAGGGCCUGUAGCUUCCUUCACAUCACUGCUCUGGUUUCUGCUCUCUGUCUAAUGGAGGGACCCUCCUUUUAGGUUGGAGGCUAUUUCUUCAUAAAGAGUUUAUUAGAUUGUGGAAUUGUGGCUUUUUGGCAAUCAAGAAAGCCCAUCUUGGUCCAGUCCAAAGUGAAGGCAGCAAUUAGAAAUAUAAAAGCAACUCAUAACAAAUGGAAAAAGAGGGAAAUAGAUGGCAAUCAAUAUAAAUUAGAAGUGAUGAAGUGCAGAAAAUUGAUAAGGGAAACUAAGGACA